CACAGUUCGACAUUGUACAUUUUCUGAUAAACUUCCUGCUUUUUUAUAGCCAAAAAUACAGAUUGAGCGAAAAGACAUCGUGCGAACACCAAAAGAUGUGCUCAUUAUUAUUAGAUCUUCGAAAAUGCAUUUUUCCAAUCCUGGUGCAACCUGAGCUUUCCAAGUUUACAUCUUACUGUCAGUUUGGACAUUGUGUAGAUGAUAAUAUGGACAAUAUAUUGUGUUGUGAUUGACUGUUUUUUUAAACAGAUAAAAUGUUUUAUUCCAGACUUAACAUGUCAUUUUUCAUCAAGGGAUAACAAAAAUACAAUUUCAUUGAUAUGCAUGAAUUUGUAGUACAUAAUAUCAACAAUGUGUAUCUUUUUUUAACAGUCUGUCAUCCAUAAGUGAACAUGUUAAGCAUGUUAAGUAUGUUUAGGGAAUAUAAUGUAUACGUUUUUGUUGUUUCUGCAAACUAAGUCAGACACAUGAAAAUCUGUUUUAUGAUUAAUGAUGAAAAACUCACUCAUAGUGAUCUCACUAUAAAAUUUUCUGUCCAGUAUAAUAAAUAAAUUGAAUUGUAUGCCUGGUAUGUGUUCGAAAAAUAAAUUCACAAAUACUGUUGUAGUUCAUAUCGACAUCAAGAUAUGUGAUGUAAACAUAUGUAGUCAUAUUAUGUAUUAUAUUGUGUACAUGUAUAUUAUUUGUACCGGUAAACAAAAAUUAAGAAGUGUAACGUUCAAUAUAUGAUGAUGUGUGCCAUUAAAUAUGUCUUGCUGAUUGCUUUAAUUUUGUUUAAGUUAAAAAUCGUGUUUUUGAACCUAUACAUAUGAAAUGAGUGAAUUUUGUUUUCUAUCUACACUUAUACUAAGUUUAAUAAUAUAUUAACUAUAAAUAUAUUGUUGAUAACACAUAGCAUGUAUAUGCAAUUGAAAUGUACUGUUUCCAUAGCAACUAUAAAGUAACUAAAUUAAAUUUGUCUUAUUAAUUUUAUCAAUUGUUGAAUAAACUAGAAUUGCUAAUUAAAAAAAUGUCUGCCAGUAUAAAUGCACAACACAAAUUGUAUCAUGAGCCGUUAUUUAUUUUAGUUUCAAAUUUGUAGCUAUACAAACUGUUCAAUUUCUGAAUACACACCUAUUUCAAGAACAUGUGCAAACAUUUUUUUUUUAAUUAUAAACAUUUUUAUGAUGUUCCAUAUCUGUCUAGGGCAUUUUUUUAUUUUGCUGUUAUGAUUUUGUCUUAAAUUCUUUAAUAUGGUAAUAAAUAUGAAAAAAGAA